rnacentral:rRNA from 1 species
UACGUAGGUGGCAAGCGUUGUCCGGAAUUACUGGGUGUAAAGGGCGCGUAGGCGGGAGAAUAAGUUGGAUGUAAAAUCUAUCGGCUCAACCGAUAGCCGCGUUCAAAACUGUUUUUCUUGAGUGAAGUAGAGGCAGGCGGAAUUCCUAGUGUAGCGGUGAAAUGCGUAGAUAUUAGGAGGAACACCAGUGGCGAAGGCGGCCUGCUGGGCUUUUACUGACGCUGAGGCUCGAAAGCGUGGGUAGCAAACAGG